rnacentral:lncRNA from 1 species
UUCACUUCUAGACCUGCCUUUUCUCUUGAUUUAUUUCUCCAUGUAAGCAAACGCCUCAGUCUCACUUACACAAACUUUAUUUAUUAUUUAUUUAUUUUUCUGGUACUGGGGAUUGAACUCAGGACCUUAUACUUUCCAGGGUGACUUCUCCCUCCCUGGGACUGCUGCUCUAUAGAGAGUCUCAAAUCUGACAGCAGGUGUGUGCAGCUGCCGGAAGGGGAGGCUCCCCAGUGCCCUCUAUGCCCUGGCUGCCUAGAGAUCCUCACUCCUGGACACUAGGAACCAAGACCCUAGGACUGAGCACAUGCUCUGUGCUGGCCUCUGAGGCUGCACCUCCUUAGUGCUGAUGCACUGAAGGGAAGGACAGGGG